ACCCAUGAUGCUUUGUUCCAAUUAGUGAGCUUUAGCAUGUUCCGAGACCCUGUUUGUCAGGGAGAACCCCUUGGGACUGCUAAAUUAAAAUGAUCUUAUUGGUAUUUGCUGAGGU